UGGUUGUUUACUAUGUUGUUUGCUCUUUUCCGGUGUUUCUUCUUCGGGUUGGUUCCGAUAAUGUCGCGUUUGUGAGGAUUCGUUCAACUACGUCCGUUUGUCUUCUUCAUGGACUCGUUCUUCUUCCUUGCAGGAUUUCAGGCAAGAUGACCAUACCCUCGAAAUCACUUCUAUCUUUGCUUGCUAGUUGCUCGCUCUUUUGCUAUGCCUAUGCUGCGAUACCUACCACUUGCUUAUCAUGCCUCCCAUAUUAUUGAACCAAGCCUCUAACCCACCUUGUCCUAGCAAACCGUUGUUUGGCUAUGUUACCGCUUUGCUCAGCCCCUCUUAUAGCGUUGUUAGUUGCAGGUGAAGAUUGAAGUUUGUUCCUUGUUGGAACAUGGAGAUGUUGUUCCUUGUUGGAACAUGUUUACUUGUUGGGAUAUCACAAUAUCUCUUAUUUAAUUAAUGCAUCUAUAUACUUGGUAAAGGGUGGAAGGCUCGGCCUUAUGCCUGGUGUUUUGUUCCACUCUUGCCGCCCUAGUUUCCGUCAUAUCGGUGUUAUGUUCCCGGAUUUUGCAUUCCUUACGCGGUUGGGCUAUAAUGGGAACCCCUUGACAGUUCGCCUUGAAUAAAACUCUUCCAGCAAUGCCCAACAUUGGUUUUACCAUUUGCCACCUAGCCUUUUCUUUCCCUUGGGUUCUGCAGACUCAAGGGUCAUCAUUAUUUUAACCCCCCCCGGGCCAGUGCUCCUCUGAGUGUUGGUCCGAACCGAGCUGCCUGCGGGGCCACCUCGGGGCAACUUGAGGUUUGGUUUUACUCGUAGCUAGUCUCAUCUGAGUGUGCCUUGAGAACGAGAUAUGUGCAGCUCCUAUCGGGAUUUGUCGGCACAUUCGGGCGGUGUUGCUGGAUUUGUUUUAACUUGUCAAAGUUGUCUUGUAGAACCGGGAUACCGAGUCUGAUCGGAAUGUCUCGGGAGAAGGUAUAUCCUUCGUUGACCGUGAGAGCUUGUGAUGGGAUAAGUUGGGACACCCCUGCAGGGUUUUGAACUUUCGAAAGCCGUGCCCGCGGUUAUGGGCAGAUGGGAAUUUGUUAAUGUCCGGUUGUAGAAAACCUGAAGUUGAUCUUAAUUAAAAUACAUCAACCGCGUGUGUAAUCGUGAUGGUCUCUUUCCAGCGGAGUCCGGGAAGUGAACAUGGUGUUGGAGUUAUGCUUGACGUAGGUUGUUCUAGGAUCACUUCUUGAUCAUAGUUGUUCGACCAUGCUUUUGCAUUCUCUUCUCACUCUCUUUUGCGAAUAGGUUAGCCACCAUAUAUGCUAGUCGCUUGCCGCAGCUCCACCUCAUACAUGUUACCCUUCCUAUAAGCUUAAAUAGUCUUGAUCGUGAGGGUGUGAGAUUGCUGAGUCCCCGUGACUCACAGAUACUUCCAAAACCAGUUUGCAGGUGCCGAUGUUACCAAGCAAGUGACGCAACCAAGCUCAAGGAGGAGCUCUAUGAAGAUCGUGUUCGUUAUGUUGUUCCGUUUCCAGUUGAUCAGUAGAGGAGCCCAGUUGGGGUCGAUCAGGGAUCUGUGUAGCAUUUGGGGUAGUCUUCUUUUAUUUUGGUUCCGUAGUCGGACCUUAAUUGUAUCUGUAUGAUGUAAUGCUUUAUUCAUGUAAUUGUGUGAAGUGGCGAUUCUAAGCCAACUAUGUAUUUUUUCCCUUAUGUAUUACAUGGG
rnacentral:lncRNA from 1 species